AUAUUUUAUGCAUUCCGGCCACAAUAAAGAGAGAUAAUUAUUGAACAUUUUAGCAAUAGUAGAAUGGUUCGCUUUUUCGAGUACUUCACAAUUUAAAAGAAAUAUUUUUCUAGAACAAUCCAUUUUUAAAGCGCCUAUGAAGUUGGCAAUCAAACGUACUUCUGUGUCAAUUGUUCCAUCCAAAGAAAUCCAGAUUUUCUUAUCUGCUACAUAUUGAAUUUAUUUUAUUCGUGGUAUUGUAACAUUUGGU